GGGGUUGUGGCUCAGCGGUACAGCACUCGCCUGGCACGUGUGGGAUCCUGGGUUCGAUCCUCAGCACUACA
rnacentral:tRNA from 1 species